rnacentral:rRNA from 1 species
UACGGAGGGUGCAAACGUUGCUCGGAAUCAUUGGGCGUAAAGCGCACGUAGGCGGCCGACUAAGUCGGAUGUGAAAGCCCAGGGCUCAACCCUGGAAGUGCAUUCGAAACUGACCGGCUUGAAUAUGGAAGAGGGUCGCGGAAUUCCCGGUGUAGAGGUGAAAAUUCGUAGAUAUCGGGAGGAACACCAGUGGCGAAGGCGGCGAGCCUGGGCCAAUAUUGACGCUGAGGUGCGAAAGCGUGGGGAGCAAACAGG